GAUCAUGGCUCAGGACGAACGCUGGCGGCGCGCCUAACACAUGCAAGUCGAACGAGAGAUGAAGAGCUUGCUCUUCAAAUCGAGUGGCGAACGGGUGAGUAACGCGUGAGGAACCUGCCUCAAAGAGGGGGACAACAGUUGGAAACGACUGCUAAUACCGCAUAAGCCCACAGCUCGGGCAUCGAGCAGAGGGAAAAGGAGUGAUCCCGCUUUGAGAUGGCCUCGCGUCCG
rnacentral:rRNA from 1 species